CAAAAACCCCAGGAAGAUUGACACUUCAUGUGCACUGGAUUGGCAUAUUUUUGCAUUUCUCAGAGAGCCUGGAUUGGCCUGACUGACAUGAUGAAGAGGAGACCUGGAAAUGGGUGGACACAUAGACACACACACACAUUACAUGUUUUGUAUUUGCAUAUGAAAAUGUUUCCUACUGCCACAACAGCAAACCACUCGCACAAACACACACACUCACUUAAUUUUUUGUAUGAGCACAUGAAGAAAAUCCCUAUUUACUAGCAUCCUGUGUGUUACAUCUGCUUCUGCCACGCCUUCUACUGCUCAUCCUGUGUCUUCUUGACUUGCUGCCACUCCCCCAGGGCUCUCUCCCUCUCCAUCUCUCCCUGUGUGUGUGUGUGUAUACUUAGUCCUGCCUCUUCCACGCUGCCAGAUCGUAAUCUCUGCUCAGUCAGUCUCCGUUUCUAGAUGUUUGUUAAUGUUAGAUCCUGUUAUCCUGUUGUGCCUGUUUUCCUUGUCUGAUGCUGUUUUCCUCUCCGCUACUGUUGUAACCCACUCUGACU
ensembl:lncRNA